AUUACAGAGUAUGAGCUCUGCUGAGGACUUCUCCAACCCUGCUGUCAAAAUAACGCAGGUUUAAAUCACUGGCUCCAUUUGUUUUGGAGAGGAUGAGACCUCUGCAGAUAAUUCGACUCGGUGAAAACCUACUGAACGUCGGGAUCUCAAGUUAUCGGGAAAAAAAGUCCAUCGCUGGAGGACAGUUCUGAGAGGAGUCCAGAG